rnacentral:lncRNA from 1 species
CGCCCCUUCCCGAGGAGCGGUGCCGGUUGCUAACCCCGGGUGAGCCUUAAGUCUGCGCCUUGGGCUCGGGUCUCGUAGGCGCCAGCCAGCAACCUUCAGAUGCUUGGGCCUCCGUUUGGCAAACGUUCUGCGCCAGAGGAGGACGGCGCGAGGGGGCCCCAGGAGCCCAGGGUCUGGCGGAGGAGGGCCGGGCGCGGCGGACGUAGAGCAAGUUUUGCUGCAAAGGAGAGCAGAGAAGAGGCCAUAACCAAGGGGAGACGCUCACGCUCACGCUCAGCAUGCCAGAUGCUCCCUGGACACUGCAGGAGGGAAGUCUGCCGGCAGAGGAGGGAGCCGCACCACUGGUGUCACGUAACUGGCAGGAUCCCAGGCUCUUCUUUUCCUCCCAGAGCAGCAGGACAGGAGGAGAUGGAACACGGUGCUGGCAGCAUUCCCACCUCCUUGGGAGACAUCGCAAGUGGACGGGAAGCCAGUGGCCCAACCUGUGUCCCCCCACUGAGAACACUGGAGACACCAAGGCAGAGCUG